UACGGAGGAUGCGAGCGUUAUCCGGAUUUAUUGGGUUUAAAGGGUGCGUAGGCGGGAUGCCAAGUCAGCGGUAAAAAUGCGGUGCUCAACGCCGUCGAGACGUUGAAACUGGCGUUCUUGAGUGGGCGAGAAGUAUGCGGAAUGCGUGGUGUAGCGGUGAAAUGCAUAGAUAUCACGCAGAACUCCGAUUGCGAAGGCAGCAUACCGGCGCCCUACUGACGCUGAGGCACGAAAGCGUGGGUAUCGAACAGG
rnacentral:rRNA from 1 species